rnacentral:rRNA from 1 species
CGUGUAGGCGGUUUUAUAAGUCUGAUGUGAAAGCCCUGGGCUCAACCCGGGAAGUGCAUUGGAUACUGUAAGACUUGAAUACGGGAGAGGGUAGUGGAAUUCCUAGUGUAGGAGUGAAAUCCGUAGAUAUUAGGAGGAACACCGGUGGCGAAGGCGGCUGCCUGGACCGAUAUUGACGCUGAGACGCGAAAGCGUGGGUAGCAAACA